AACGCACGAGACCUGCGGACCUGCGGAAGGAUCAUUACCGAGUUUACAAAACUCCCAAACCCUUUGUGAACCUUACCUAUCGUUGCUUCGGCGGGAACGCCCCGGCGCCCUCGCGGCCCGGAACCAGGCGCCCGCCGGAGGCCCCAAACCCUCAUGUCGUUAGUGGUUUCCUCCUCUGAGUGACAUAAACAAAUAAAGUAAAAACUUUUAACAAUGGAUCUCUAGAUCGGAAGAGCACAC
rnacentral:misc_RNA from 1 species